CGUGCCCUACGGGAGGCAGCAGUGAGGGAUAUUGGUCAAUGGGGGAAACCCUGAACCAGCAACGCCGUGUGAGGGAAGACGGUUUUCGGAUUGUAAACCUCUGUCCUCUGUGAAGAUAAUGACGGUAGCAGAGGAGGAAGCUCCGGCUAACUACGUGCCAGCAGCCGCGGUAAUACGUAGGGAGCGAGCGUUGUCCGGAAUUACUGGGUGUAAAGGGAGCGCAGGCGGGAAGCCAAGUCAGCUGUGAAAACUACGGGCUUAACUUGUAGACUGCAGUUGAAACUGGUUUUCUUGAGUGAAGAAGG
rnacentral:rRNA from 1 species